rnacentral:rRNA from 1 species
CUUGGUGGCCAUAGCGACUGUGACCCACCCGAUCCCAUCUCGAACUCGGCCGUGAAACCAGUUAGCGCCGAUGGUACUUUGUCUUAAGGCAUGGAAGAGUAGGUCGUCGCCAGGC